CACAUAGCAGGGAGGUUGAAACUAGAUGAUCUUUGAGAUCUUUUCAACCCAGGCCAUUCUAUGAUUCUAUGACUUAUCCUGAUUUGCUUAUUUAUCCAUUCCAGAUCAGGGACCUUAGUGUUGAAAAAUCUAUUAUGAGAUUGUUGGUUUUUUUCUGUGGUUUUUUUUUUUUUUUUAAUUUGAGAUGAUUUUCUCUGAAGCUGAGCACUAACAACACAGAAACUGGUUUGGACCUUUGAACCCCUGUAAAAAGAGAAAAAGGUGAGUGGCUUUUUCAGAUGAGCAGUUAUGAAGAACAGCUUUGGCAACCAAAUUGUAUGGAAUGCACUAUCCAUGAUUAUAUGGAACGUCAUUAUUCUGUGAAAUACAAUUAGUAAUAUGGAAUGCAGCCUUAAUCAGGAGCCAAAUGUGUGAUAAGUUUCUUUUUUUCCUCUCAGUCCUGUUUUGCCUUAUUGUUGUUGUUAUUAAAAGUAUAUAGUUCUUUACCCAGCCAGUUAGCAUAACAAAUCUCUCACAGUUUGGGCAUGUAAAAAAUGAUCUGUCAGGGUCUAAUAAGCUACCCUUGAUCUGCCUUAUAGCCAGUGGAAAGAACGAUCACAGAUUAUGGUUAAGCAACUAAGUUAAGUGAGACAAAUUUCUUCUGGUAGUGCAUAUUUUUCUCAGGUGCCUCAUCUGUAAUUAGGUUAAUAAUUGUUUGAUUAGGUUAAAAAAAAAAAAACAAAAAUAAAACACAUUUUCCAUGGAUAUGUUUCCUAAAUAAAAUUUGUAUUUCUUCUAUGCAUGGCUUGUUCUUUUUUUCCUAAAACCAGACCAGUUUUAUUACUCAGAAGAGCUUCUUUGUGUUUACUGUUCACUGUGCGUAUAGAUCAUUUCCACGUGAACAGGCUGAUUUUUUAUCAACUCAGAAGUUUUCUGUUGUCUCUUUUGUUAACUUCACUGUGUGACAGAUGGGUCCUGUGCCGUCUGUCUGAAUAGGCAGGAAACAGUUCUGAGGAUGGCUGCAAAGUUCACUGUUAGGAACAACACAAGUAUGCACAAUGCUUCUCCAUUUAUAGUCUUUGGGGAGAGUGAUUUUCUGGUUCUUUUAACAAAACAGACUUUCUCUAACUCCUGCAAGUUAGCUGCUAUAUAGUUAUUUAGUUGCUACAUUCUGUGAUCUUUAGUUACCAUUGAACUUUUAUGUAAAAUGUCAUGAUGUUUUCUAAGCAAAUCAUGUUAAAAAACAUGUAUUUGGAUCAGGGACUGAAUUGGACAGAACAUAAUAGAGUACAAUAAUAAAUACACAUAAGAGGACUAAAACCAUGAAAUUGAUGGAGAUAAGCAAUUUUUACUAUUUUGUCCAGACCUGUGGCCCUAAUUCAGCAAAUCACUAAAGCAUGGGCUUAAUUCCUGCUGCACUAAAUGGGACCUCUCAUAUACAUGAAGAUUACACAUUCCUAAGCACUUUGCUCUUUAUAGACACUUCUGUGCUUACCUCCCUUGCUAAUGCAUGCAUCCUAUUCCUCCCUACUGCAAAAUAAAUAAAUAAAUAAAUAUUAACCUGACUCCUGUUUACCAUAAUCCCCCAGGCAGUAUGCUAAUACAAGCACACAGAGCAAUCUGAGCUAAUGGAGACAUAUCUGUUACUAUUACCAAACACUGGACUAUUGCAAAUGCACUUACAUCUUAUCAGCAUUACUGAGGCAUCUUAUUGUUGUUAUUUUUUUUUUUCAUUAUUAUUUACUAUUGCAUGUAGACAUUCCUACUGACUCAGUCUUUCCUGGGGCUUUCUGACAGAGGUAGCAUUUCAAAUCCAGACUCUUGUUUUUGGAUUACUGAAAAUCUCAUGCUGAUAUUGAGUUGUAGCAAGUUUAUGUAGGAAGAUAAGAAAUGGUCAUUGUCAAGAAAAUGCAUAGCAGAGAGCACAGCUCAGAGUAGAUAUCACUUAUUUGAGUUUGCCAUAAUAUUUUUAAUUUAUAGUGAAUGUCUCCCUGUUGAUAGAAAUAUCUUUCAAACCAUUGUAGAGAUUAAAGGUGUCUAUUGUUCCUGCUCCUAGGACAAUUGAUUCCUCCUGACAUCUUCAAAUGGCUGAAUCUGUUCGGUAUUAAAGCCCUCCUGUAUUGCUGGAGUAAGGAAAAGAAACCAGCACCUCUACGUGCGGUAUGUGUGAUACUUCCACCUGUGAUACCUCACCUGAACCUAUCUUGCAAUGUAACUGUAGUGACUCCAGUUAAAUCAACGAGAAAAUGACUGAGCUUAACUUUGAGGCAAUUGGACUCAUUUCAGCAGUGGUGAAGACUUGUUUUCCAACUGUCAUAUUGGUCUUCAUCAGACAGUUCACCAACUGUGUUCUCAGCGCCUCUCUUACUUCAGAAGAAAACAUUUGUUUCAUUUCAUGAACCCACCUUGCCACUAAGAGAAAAAAAUAUUGCCAGGGACACAGAAUGGCCUUAGCAUGACUGUAGGGAUGUAUCAGUUAAAUUCAAAUUAAAAUAAUACAGAUGCUUGUCCUGUCUGUGCCACUAGUUGUAUGCCUGAAAGUGCUAUAUGAUUUCCAAGCAAGUUCGUUCAUUUACUAGCUAUUAAGCUAACAUGAAAAGCAAAAAAACCAAACUAUUUUAGGUUUAUUUAUUGAAUUAAAUCCAGAAAAGUUGUGUCUGUUCUUUAAUUGAGUGGCUGUGGGCUGAUAUGUGACAUACCUUUGGGAAAAACAAAUCAAGGAUUAUUUAAGUGCUUGUUUAUUUCAAGAAAUGCAAAACAUGCAGUUUGAGAAGCUGAAUCAUUAAAACAAUUGCAAUGGAACAGACUGCUUUUCACACAGAGAUGAAAAUCUUUGCAUAGAUCAUCUAAUCUGUAUGUGCUGCUUUUUCUACCAGUGUUUUAUUCUGUUGAGGUAUUAACCUUGAAUUCUUCAAAAGUUGCUAGUUAGGUUGACACACAGCUAGAUAUUUCACAAGAUUAAAAAAAAAAAAAUACUGUGUUAAAUUACUCAUUGAUAUUACAUGUUGUACUUACACUCCUUCCUAGAACUAGGUGUAUACAGAGGAGGCUUUUGUUUACUCACAAUAAUUUGUUUUAUUCUGAAGAGAAGAUUUCUGCAGUUUGCAUUGAAGAGGGGUGAGAUUCAUGAUUGUUUCCAUCCUCACAUGGAAGAGCGCUCCAGAGCUCCUUCUGUCAACAUAAUUGCCUGCCCAGCUGAUAGCUCCACCACCCCUGGGGAGUGGAUCCUUUCAGCAAGGCCUUUAUCACAGUGAGAAAUUAUUAUCCCCAAAGUAACCUGGAUCUAGCCAAUUUAGGGCUUUGAAGAUUAGGAUUAGAACAAGGAAUAUGAUUUAACAUUCACAGAAGAGCCAGCAAACUGCUCACAGCCCUGGGAUGAUGUACCAAAAUUGACUUAUUUUGCUUAGCAAGCAGAGUGAUGAGUUUUGAUCAGCUGCCCAUUGAAGGCUAUCAUUGGCACUGCCAGUGCAGAAUAUUACAACAGUGCAACCUGGGAGCCAUGAAUAUGUACAAGGCUAUUGCCAAGUCAGCAUCUGAGAGGAUGUUCAUAGGAACAGCCUGCUGGCUCAUUGUGGAUGAGAGAAUUUAUUUUUGACAGAUUUCAUACCUGGGAGGACAGCAGCUAACCCUGAGGCUCUGAGCUCUUGUGAUGGUCAGAAAACAGACCCCUCAAUUGAGGACCUUGUCAUGGUUUUGGCUAGUUCUUCAAAAUAUCACCCAUUUCCUGCUAAUCCUGCUUCUGUCUUGUUCAGAUUUAUUCUCAGCCAGCUGAAUCUCUGUUCGGAAGCUGAUCUUCUAUAGGCACUGAGGCAGAUGGGAAGUAGUGCUGCUAGUGUAUGAUGUGAGAGAUGGUUUGAACUGAGAGUCAGUAACAUACUGUUCAGUGUGGUGGUUCAAAAAUAUCUUCUGGUAGAUUUACAUGUAUGCCUACCAGAAUAAAACAGGAGACUGGAGAAGUUCACCAGCAAGAGGCCCAGAUAAGAUGCACAGUUACCAGUUACAAACGUUUUGGAUCACUCACAGUGGAAUGAUUCGAUCUGGCCUUGUUCAGUUUGCUCUGCUGUGAGUAGCUGCAUGCUAUGGCUAGAAUGGCAAAGGUAGCUGCAAGACUCAACAGAAGUACAAGACUUUUAUCACAGCCUGUGACUGUAUUUCUGUAAAUAUAAAAACCAAGCAGAAUUGUUACCUAGCACUCCCCCUCUUUUA